AAUUUGGCUGGUGAUGUUGAAAAAUUAUUGGAGUUCUCACAGAGUCAAGGUGUGAGUUCUGGUGACAGCUACCAGCAUUGCUGUCCCAGGCCCAGUGUCCCCUGGCUGUCCCUGGUGGAACAUCCUCCAGAGUCUGGAAGAGCUCUUUCCUGUGUUCUCCCUUGUUCUGGGGUGGCUGUCACAGCUGUGGGACAGCAGGGCUGGCUCCUUCUGCCUUCCACCAUCUCCUGCACACCCUUGGUAUGCCCAGGAAGAAGGGCCAAGCAUCCCCUUUCCUGGGAAUGUUUCCCCAGCACGAGGUGUUUAAAUCAUUUACAAAGGGCUAAAAUAGAGCUGGCUCCCUUCCAGGCACUCUGGCAUCCAGGCUCUGUAAACAACUCACCCGCCAAGGGAGUCAGCUGGAAAAAAAGCUUUUCAUGUCCAUUCCCAAAGCCCCACUUCCACAGAAACCUUCCAGCAUGAUCCUUUCUCAGCUGUAAGAGCAGCAAACUUGUUUCAGGUCUUCACUGGCCUUCCUUUUCCCUCCACAAGCACACUCGUGGACAUCUCACAUAACUCCCUUCUGCCAGUGGAUGGAAAAAGAGAAGUACUCUGUGCAAAGAAACAAUUAACUGAUGUGGUAAGUCUGAUGUGCCUUUCCCUGCCUUGGAUAUUUCCUAGGGUCCCUUUCAGAGGCAAUUGUUUUUAAUAGCAUUGACCUUUAUGGAGACUUCACCUGGUAUUCACCAGGAAUUCACCUGGGUAUUUUCUCAUGGCUGCUGAUCUGCACCCAGGAGCUCACAGGAAGAAUCAAGAAGACAUUUAUUUCUUAGGCUGCAAGUGAUUCACCAAAAAUCAUUGGGAUACAAGUGGAAAAUGCCAGGGAUCAGAACGCAGCCCAGCUUUCAAAAUCCCAACCAUGCUGGGAGAGCAAGGUCUGGGCUGGCCAGGAGAUCUGCAAGAGGAGCUACCCAGCAUCUCUUUCCUCUGCAGGGUCUGUGGCAGCUCUCAGCUGCUCUCUCCAGGGCCCCCAACCCAAAGGAAUGCCCCAGGAACUAGAGCUCCCAUCCUGUGACUCCCCAGGUGACCAACAAGUUCCCAAACUCCUACUCUGCUCUCAUGGAGGCAGGACACCAAGUGCUGCAGCCUCACCUGCCUGUGCCACACCUGGAUAGCAAUCUCCCCUAACCCUGCUGGAGCAGCUGAACCUCCUGCAACCUCUGCAGCACCAAGUGCAAGGGGAAGGAUGCAGUUCCCUGGUUCCCCAGCUCUGAGAAGGAAGGCUGGUUCAUCCAUCCUGCUGCCAGUGGGGUCCAUACUGUGGCACAAGUCAGCUUCACCCCCAGAAGGGUGACACUGAGGCUGACAGGGUGCUUGGGCAGAGUCAGAGAGCACCAAGUCAUGAUCCAAACACACCCAGAGGAGCUAGGAGCUCCUAUGCACCCCACAGGGCUUUAUCCCCUCAGAGUAGGCAGUAGAAGAU
rnacentral:lncRNA from 1 species